rnacentral:rRNA from 1 species
UACGUAGGGCGCAAGCGUUGUCCGGAAUUAUUGGGCGUAAAGAGCUCGUAGGUGGUUUGUCGCGUCUGCCGUGAAAGCCCGGGGCUUAACUCCGGGUCUGCGGUGGAUACGGGCAGACUAGAGGCAGGUAGGGGAGAACGGAAUUCCCGGUGUAGCGGUGAAAUGCGCAGAUAUCGGGAGGAACACCGGUGGCGAAGGCGGCGCUCUGGGCCGGUACUGACGCUGAGGAGCGAAAGCGUGGGUAGCAAACAGG